GCAUCACUGAAGACCCGACACCAGCGGACUCGGACGUUCGCUGUCCUCGGCAGGACUGACCAGGUGUUGUGUUAUGCAAACUUUACUGCCAUCCGAUGACACUGUCCAUCCCGUCGAUGAGAAUGACCCUGUCUUUGUCGGAGGAGCACACUUGCCCGUCUCCAAACGCAGAGACGCAGGGGCGAGACAAUAACGCCCAGAAGUUAUUGAAAUGAAUUGUCAUGAAAAGAGCUGGAACAAGAAGAGGAGCGCUCACAGCAGAGCGAAGGAGGGGUGGGGGGCGGUGACAGAAUGCGAGGUGAAAAAGACAAGUGAAAGAGGUCCAGACUUGAAGGAGGCACGCAAGCACAGAGACCAGAGACACACACAUAAUGGCACCUAGAGGCUGUCUGCGGUCUACCACCAUCCCACCACACACACAUACACACAAACACACAUGCACGCCAGUUACGGUAAGAAUCGGAGAACACUGAAGGGAGAUGUGAGGAGAAACAAACAAAAAAAAAAGUUUUCUUCCCUAAGUAGAGACACAUUGACAGCUUAUAUUCCAAAAUGCUACAAAACUCAGUAAUUUAAAAAGCUUUGCAGA